UCUCUGGUGGUCCAGUGGUCAGCGGGAUUCUGAGCUCCCAAUCCAGAGGGCCCAGGUUCGAUACCUGGUCAGGGGA
rnacentral:tRNA from 1 species